rnacentral:rRNA from 1 species
ACUGGUGUGGUUGUUGUUGCUGGCCCUCUCGGGGGCAUGUGCACACCCACCAUCCUCAUCUCUCCACCUGUGCACCUCUUGUAGACCUGGAUAGACUUUCCGAGGCAACUCGGUCGGGAAGAUUGCUGCGCUCUGUGAGCCAGCUUUCUUUGCAUGUCCAGGCCUAUGUUUUUCAUAUACCCCUAUAGAAUGUAACAGAAUGUAUCAUUGGGCCUUGUGCCUAUAAACCUUAUACAACUUUCAGCAACGGAUCUCUUGGCUCUCGCAUCGAUGAAGAACGCAGCGAAAUGCGAUAAGUAAUGUGAAUUGCAGAAUUCAGUGAAUCAUCGAAUCUUUGAACGCACCUUGCGCUCCUUGGUAUUCCGAGGAGCAUGCCUGUUUGAGUGUCAUUAAAUUCUCAACCUUAUUAGCUUUUGUUGAUAAUGGAUUGGAUGUGGGGGUUUAUUUUGCUGGCUUCUUCAGAGAUCAGCUCCCCUUAAAUGCAUUAGCUGGUGCCCCGCGUGGACCAUCUAUUGGUGUGAUAAUUAUCUACGCCGUGGAUGUCUGCAAUCAUAUGGGUUUUGCACUGCUUNUAACCGUCUGUUCAUUCGGACAAUAUAUGACAAUUUGACCUCAAAUCAGGUAGGACUACCCGCUGAACUUAAGCAUAUCAAUAAGCGGAGGAAAAGAAACUAACAAGGAUUCCCCUAGUAACUGCGAGUGAAGCGGGAAAAGCUCAAAUUUAAAAUCUGGCGGUCUCCGGCCGUCCGAGUUGUAAUCUAGAGAAGUGUUAUCCGCGCUGGACCGUGUAC